rnacentral:rRNA from 1 species
AGCGUACACGGUGGAUGCCCUGGCAGUCAGAGGCGAUGAAGGACGUGCUAAUCUGCGAAAAGCGCCGGCGAGGUGAUAUGAACCCUUGACCCGGCGAUGUCCGAAUGGGGAAACCCAGUGCAAUUCGUUGCACUAUCGUUAACUGAAUACAUAGGUUAACGAGGCGAACCGGGGGAACUGAAACAUCUAAGUACCCCGAGGAAAAGAAAUCAACCGAGAUUCCCCCAGUAGCGGCGAGCGAACGGGGAGCAGCCCGGAGUCUGAAUCAGCUUGUGUGUUAGUGGAACGGUCUGGAAAGUCCGACGGUACAGGGUGAUAGUCCCGUACACGAAAGCACACAUGCUGUGAACUCGAAGAGUAGGGCGGGACACGUGGUAUCCUGUCUGAAUAUGGGGGGACCAUCCUCCAAGGCUAAAUACUCCUGACUGACCGAUAGUGAACCAGUACCGUGAGGGAAAGGCGAAAAGAACCCCGGCGAGGGGAGUGAAAAAGAACCUGAAACCGUGUACGUACAAGCAGUGGGAGCCUCUUUAUGGGGUGACUGCGUACCUUUUGUAUAAUGGGUCAGCGACUUAUAUUCUGUAGCAAGGUUAACCGUAUAGGGGAGCCGAAGGGAAACCGAGUCUUAACUGGGCGUUAAGUUGCAGGGUAUAGACCCGAAACCCGGUGAUCUAGCCAUGGGCAGGUUGAAGGUUGGGUAACACUAACUGGAGGACCGAACCGACUAAUGUUGAAAAAUUAGCGGAUGACCUGUGGCUGGGGGUGAAAGGCCAAUCAAACCGGGAGAUAGCUGGUUCUCCCCGAAAGCUAUUUAGGUAGCGCCUCGUGAACUCAUCUUCGGGGGUAGAGCACUGUUUCGGCUAGGGGGCCAUCCCGGCUUACCAACCCGAUGCAAACUACGAAUACCGAAGAAUGUUAUCACGGGAGACACACGGCGGGUGCUAACGUCCGUCGUGAAGAGGGAAACAACCCAGACCGCCAGCUAAGGUCCCAAAGUCAUGGUUAAGUGGGAAACGAUGUGGGAAGGCACAGACAGCCAGGAUGUUGGCUUAGAAGCAGCCAUCAUUUAAAGAAAGCGUAAUAGCUCACUGGUCGAGUCGGCCUGCGCGGAAGAUGUAACGGGGCUAAACCAUGCACCGAAGCUGCGGCAGCGACACUAUGUGUUGUUGGGUAGGGGAGCGUUCUGUAAGCCGUUGAAGGUGUGCUGUGAGGCAUGCUGGAGGUAUCAGAAGUGCGAAUGCUGACAUAAGUAACGAUAAAGCGGGUGAAAAGCCCGCUCGCCGGAAGACCAAGGGUUCCUGUCCAACGUUAAUCGGGGCAGGGUGAGUCGACCCCUAAGGCGAGGCCGAAAGGCGUAGUCGAUGGGAAACAGGUUAAUAUUCCUGUACUUGGUGUUACUGCGAAGGGGGGACGGAGAAGGCUAUGUCAGCCGGGCGACGGUUGUCCCGGUUUAAGCAUGUAGGCGGAGGUUCCAGGUAAAUCCGGUACCUUUUUAACGCUGAGGUGUGAUGACGAGGCACUACGGUGCUGAAGUGAUAAAUGCCCUGCUUCCAGGAAAAGCCUCUAAGCAUCAGGUAACACGAAAUCGUACCCCAAACCGACACAGGUGGUCAGGUAGAGAAUACCAAGGCGCUUGAGAGAACUCGGGUGAAGGAACUAGGCAAAAUGGUGCCGUAACUUCGGGAGAAGGCACGCUGAUGUGUAGGUGAAGCCCCUGCGGGCGGAGCUGAAAUCAGUCGAAGAUACCAGCUGGCUGCAACUGUUUAUUAAAAACACAGCACUGUGCAAACACGAAAGUGGACGUAUACGGUGUGACGCCUGCCCGGUGCCGGAAGGUUAAUUGAUGGGGUUAGCGGCAACGCGAAGCUCUUGAUCGAAGCCCCGGUAAACGGCGGCCGUAACUAUAACGGUCCUAAGGUAGCGAAAUUCCUUGUCGGGUAAGUUCCGACCUGCACGAAUGGCGUAAUGAUGGCCAGGCUGUCUCCACCCGAGACUCAGUGAAAUUGAACUCGCUGUGAAGAUGCAGUGUACCCGCGGCAAGACGGAAAGACCCCGUGAACCUUUACUAUAGCUUGACACUGAACACUGGUCCUUGAUGUGUAGGAUAGGUGGGAGGCUUUGAAGCGUGGACGCCAGUCUGCGUGGAGCCGACCUUGAAAUACCACCCUUUAAUGGCUGGUGUUCUAACGUAGACCCGUAAUCCGGGUUGCGGACAGUGUCUGGUGGGUAGUUUGACUGGGGCGGUCUCCUCCCAAAGAGUAACGGAGGAGCACGAAGGUUGGCUAAUCCUGGUCGGACAUCAGGAGGUUAGUGCAAUGGCAUAAGCCAGCUUGACUGCGAGCGUGACGGCGCGAGCAGGUGCGAAAGCAGGUCAUAGUGAUCCGGUGGUUCUGAAUGGAAGGGCCAUCGCUCAACGGAUAAAAGGUACUCCGGGGAUAACAGGCUGAUACCGCCCAAGAGUUCAUAUCGACGGCGGUGUUUGGCACCUCGAUGUCGGCUCAUCACAUCCUGGGGCUGAAGUAGGUCCCAAGGGUAUGGCUGUUCGCCAUUUAAAGUGGUACGCGAGCUGGGUUUAGAACGUCGUGAGACAGUUCGGUCCCUAUCUGCCGUGGGCGCUGGAGAAUUGAGGGGGGCUGCUCCUAGUACGAGAGGACCGGAGUGGACGCAUCACUGGUGUUCGGGUUGUCAUGCCAAUGGCACUGCCCGGUAGCUAAAUGCGGAAGAGAUAAGUGCUGAAAGCAUCUAAGCACGAAACUUGCCCCGAGAUGAGUUCUCCCUGAGACUUUAAGUCUCCUGAAGGAACGUUGAAGACGACGACGUUGAUAGGUCGGGUGUGUAAGCGCAGCGAUGCGUUGAGCUAACCGAUACUAAUGAACCGUGAGGCUUAACC